UCAAGUGCCUUAAGGGCAUUCGGUGGAUGCCUUGGCGCUGAGAGGCUAUGAAGGACGUGCUACGCUGCGAUAAGCCACGGGGAGCUGCGAAGAAGCUUUGAUCCGUGGAUUUCCGAAUGGGGAAACCCACCUUCGAUAACGGAAUUCCGAGACCAUGUGAUGGCAGGCGCACAGCCUGACGCACGAGGUUUUCGGAUUCGCCCGAGAGCUGCGCGCCGCGAAAGCGGCGUUUGGUUUCGGACUUCCGUUAUCAAAAGAAGGUAUGAGAUCCUUGAAUAAAAUAGAGGGUUUCAAGCAAACCCGGGGAACUGAAACAUCUCAGUACCCGGAGGAAAGGACAUCAACCGAGACUCCGCUAGUAGUGGCGAGCGAAAGCGGACCAGGCCAGUGAUAAUCCCAAGACAACCGGAAGCGUUUGGAACGACGCGCCUUAGCGGGUGACAGCCCCGUACGGGUAACGCGAAGGAUUAUCCUUGAGUAAGGCGGGACACGUGAAAUCCUGUCUGAACAUGGGGGGACCACCCUCCAAGCCUAAGUACUCCUCAGCGACCGAUAGUGAACAAGUACCGUGAGGGAAAGGUGAAAAGCACCCCGACGAGGGGAGUGAAAGAGACCUGAAACCGAAUGCCUACAAACAGACGGAGCCCAAGGUUCGUCCUGGGUGACGUCGUACCUUUUGUAUAAUGGGCCAGCGACUUAGUCUGACGAGCAAGCUUAAGCCGAUAGGCGUAGGCGCAGCGAAAGCGAGUCUGAACAGGGCGUUCAGUUCGUCGGAUUAGACCCGAAACCUAGUGAUCUAGCCAUGGUCAGGUUGAAGGUGGGGUAACACCUACUGGAGGACCGAACCGGUGUCUGUUGAAAAAGCCUCGGAUGAACUGUGGCUAGGGGUGAAAGGCCAACCAAACUGGGAAAUAGCUGGUUUUCCGCGAAAGCUAUUUAGGUAGCGCCUCGGAUGAAUACCGCAGGGGGUAGAGCACUGGAUGGGCUAGGGGGACUUACCGUCUUACCAAACCUAACCAAACUCCGAAUACCUGCGAGUACUAUCCGGGAGACACACGGUGGGUGCUAACGUCCAUCGUGGAGAGGGAAAAAACCCUGACCAACAGCUAAGGCCCCCAAUUCGUGGCUAAGUGUGAAAGGAUGUGGGAAUCCCAUAACAACCAGGAGGUUGGCUUAGAAGCAGCCAUCCUUUAAAGAAAGCGUAACAGCUCACUGGUCUAAACAAGGAUUCCCGCGCCGAAAAUGUAACGGGGCUCAAGCCACGAGCCGAAGCUUUGGGUGUGCACGCAAGUGUACGCGGUAGCGGAACGUUCUGUAAGCCGGUGAAGGGAGACCCGUGAGGGCUCCUGGAGGUAUCAGAAGUGCGAAUGCUGGCAUGAGUAACGACAAACAGUGUGAAAGACACUGUCGCCGAAAGUCCAAGGGUUCCUGCGUAAAGCUAAUCUGCGCAGGGUUAGCCGGUCCCUAAGGCGAGGCCGAAAGGCGUAGUCGAUGGGAAUGCCGUCAAUAUUCGGCAGCCAGCGGGUGGUGACGAAUUCCAGGAGUUGUCUCCGGUUACUGGAUUCCGGAGGCAGCGCAGGAGUUCCAGGAAAUAGCCCCCGCGUAGUCCGUACCCUAAACCGACACAGGUGGACUGGUAGAGAAUACCAAGGCGCUUGAGCGAACUAUGCUGAAGGAACUCGGCAAUUUACCUCCGUAACUUCGGAAUAAGGAGGACCUCUCGGUGGGCAACCAUCAAGGGGUGGCACAGACCAGGGGGUGGCGACUGUUUAACAAAAACACAGGGCUCUGCGAACUCGGAAGAGGACGUAUAGGGUCUGACGCCUGCCCGGUGCCGGAAGGUUAAGAGGAGGGGUGCAAGCCUUGAAUCGAAGCCCCGGUAAACGGCGGCCGUAACUAUAACGGUCCUAAGGUAGCGAAAUUCCUUGUCGGGUAAGUUCCGACCUGCACGAAUGGCGUAACGACUUCCCCGCUGUCUCCAGCAUAGGCUCAGUGAAACUGAAUUCCCCGUGAAGAUGCGGGGUUCCUGCGGUCAGA
rnacentral:rRNA from 1 species